GUCUGAGUAGGUGGGACGACACAGCUUCUGGAUGUUGAGUCUCAUUAUGGUCUGAGUAGGUGGGACAACACAGCUUCUGGAUGUUGAGUCUCAUUAUGGUCUGAGUAGGUGGGACGACACAGCUUCUGGAUGUUGAGUCUCAUUAUGGUCUGAGUAGGUGUGGACGACACAGCUUCUGGAUGUUGAGACUCAUUAUGGUCUGAGUAGGUGGGACAACACAGCUUCUGGAUGUUGAGUCUCAUUAUGGUCUGAGUAGGUGUGGACGACACAGCUUCUGGAUGCUGAGUCUCAUUAUGUUCUGAGUAGGUGGGACAACACAGCUUCUGGAUGUUGAGUCUCAUUAUGGUCUGAGUAGGUGGGACAACACAGCUUCUGGAUGUUGAGUCUCAUUAUGGUCUGAGUAGGUGUGGACGACACAGCUUCUGGAUGUUGAGUCUCAUUAUGGUCUGAGUAGGUGUGGACAACACAGCUUCUGGAUGUUGAGUCUCAUUAUGGUCUGAGUAGGUGUGGACGACACAGCUUCUGGAUGUUGAGUCUCAUUAUGGUCUGAGUAGGUGGGACAACACAGCUUCUGGAUGUUGAGUCUCAUUAUGGUCUGAGUAGGUAGGACAACACAGCUUCUGGAUGUUGAGUCUCAUUAUGGUCUGAGUAGGUGGGACGACACAGCUUCUGGAUGUUGAGUCUCAUUAUGUUCUGAGUAGGUAGGACAACACAGCUUCUGGAUGUUGAGUCUCAUCAUGUUAUGAGUAGGUGUGGACAACACAGCUUCUGGAUGUUGAGUCUCAUUAUGUUCUGAGUAGGUGGGACGACACAGUUUUAUUCUAACAGACAAACAGGCAGGAACAUUAAAUAUAUGUUUAUGUUUGUAAAGUAAUGUUAUGCUAAUAUAGAGACUCGCCCAGCCUCUUUUUGUCACCUGAU
rnacentral:lncRNA from 1 species